GUGCUCACUUCGGCAGCACAUAUACUAAAAUUGGAAAGAUACAGAGAAGAUUAGCGUGGCCCCUGCGCAAGAAUGACACGCAAAUUCGUGAAGCAUUCCAUAUUUUU
rnacentral:snRNA from 1 species